rnacentral:tRNA from 1 species
UUUAUAUUAUUGUACUUUGCAUAAAAAUUUUUGAAAUUUUAAGUAAUAUUUUUAUUAUAUAAAG